CCCCGUUACGAUGCUCGAUGUGAGAUGUUGUGCCCUUGAGGCGUGGCUUCCGAAGCUAACGCGUUAAAUCGACCGCCUGGGGAGUACGGCCGCAAGGUUAAAACUCAAAUGAAUUGACGGGGGCCCGCACAAGCGGUGGAACAUGUGGUUUAAUUCGAUGCAACGCGAAAAACCUUACCUACUCUUGACAUCCACCGAAUCCUGUAGAAAUACGGGAGUGCCUUCCGGAACGCUGAAACAGGUGCUGCAUGGCUGUCGUCCGCUCGUGUUGUGAAAUGUUGGGUUAAGUCCCGCAACGAGCGCAACCCUUAUCCUUUGUUGCCAGCGGUUCGGCCGGGAACUCACAGGAGACUGCCCGUGAUAAACUGGAGGAAAGUGGGGAUGACAUCUAGUCAUCAUGGCCCUUACAAGUACGGCUACACACGUGCUACAAUGGCGUAUACAAAGAGAAGCGAACUCCCGAGAGCAAGCGGACCUCACAAAGUACCUCUUACUCCGGAUUGGAGUCUGCAACUCUACUCCCUGAAAUCUGAAUCGCUCGUAAUCGUGGAUCACAAUGCCACGGUGAAUACGUUCCCGGGCCUUGUACACACCGCCCGUCACACCAUGGGAGUGGGUUGCAAAACAAGUAGGUAGCUUAACCUUCUGGAGGGCGCUUACCACUUUGUGAUUCAUGACUGGGGUGAAGUCGUACAAGGGAAACCAAAAAAA
rnacentral:rRNA from 1 species